AGUGAACGCUGGCGGUAGGCCUAACACAUGCAAGUCGAACGGCAGCACAGUAAGAGCUUGCUCUUACGGGUGGCGAGUGGCGGACGGGUGAGGAAUACAUCGGAAUCUACUUUUUCUUGGGGGAUAACGUAGGGAAACUUACGCUAAUACCGCAUACGACCUACGGGUGAAAGCAGGGGAUCUUCGGACCUUGCGCGAUUGAAUGAGCCGAGGUCGGAUUAGCUAGUUGGCGGGGUAAAGGCCCACCAAGGCGACGAUCCGUAGCUGGUCUGAGAGGAUGAUCAGCCACACUGGAACUGAGACACGGUCCAGACUCCUACGGGAGGCAGCAGUGGGGAAUAUUGGACAAUGGGCGCAAGCCUGAUCCAGCCAUACCGCGUGUGUGAAGAAGGCCUUCGGGUUGUAAAGCCCUUUUGUUGGGAAAGAAAAGCAGCAAGUUAAUACCUCGCUGUUCUGACGGUACCCAAAGAAUAAGCACCGGCUAACUUCGUG
rnacentral:rRNA from 1 species